UGACUAGAAGUAUCACUGUACGCAUGCUUUCACCUUUUCUUCAACGAAAGUAGCGAACAACUCUUGCGCGUACGACAGCAUACUCUCAGCGACAUUUCGGCACGUUUCAUAUGGGCCUUUUGUACGCGCUCAUAUGCAAGUGCACUUGUUCAUCCAGUGAAGAAUUUAAUAAUUCUUUUUCUCAAAUAUUGCUUCUAACUUCAGCAGCGCUAUAGUAAAACAGUGUCGCAGGCAACGUGACUACUCUAUCAGGUGCAUUUUAAAACAAUUCUUGUCAACCAUACUUCCACAAGCGAACUUAUAUGUAAGCUUAGUUUGUAAUACAUCUACUUCUCAUUGCUUCAGCCAACCUAAAUUGUUUUUCAAGCUAGCUUGGUAUUUUUCUUUUAUGUCAUUUUAUUGUUUUACUUGCUUAUGUCUGCGUACAUCCUUUGUAACUUCACAACAGAAAUGUGUUGGAGCCCACCAGUUUGCUUUAGUCAGUCUCAUUACUUUAUUCAUGUUAAGUAUACGCAAUUGCCAUUCUUUAUGCCGUCUGCUUACAACACUUCUUCUUUACAGAUCACAUAGCAGCCCAAAAUUACCUUAUCGGUUGCUUUCGAGGUGCCACCGUGCUUGCCGUUGAUAUCGAAAGAUGGCCUUGGAGUGUGACACGUGACACACAGGUGAUUGGGUUAUUUUCACGUGCCAGAUGAAAUCUUCUACUAUGACUAUUCAAGCCAUUUGCAGCACGAAUAACGCCUACUUGAUUACCUUGCAAUGACACACACCACCAUGACCGUUGGGAAGGCUGUCCAUUGCCUGUCGCUGGUGCACGAGGCUACAUCUUCACCUGUUGGUACUCGCUAAUUGUGUUGCAGCUUGUCUUUUGGCUCAGCAGCACUAAGAAUAAAAGCUCUGUUUUAAAAUCAAUAA
rnacentral:lncRNA from 1 species